CCAAGUCCAAAAGACAGGCCCAUGAUAAAAUUGUUUGCCCAGCCCAAGGACUUGAGAAAAACAAAAAUAGGAUCCAGACAGAUUGGGCUUCACACCAAGAAUGUUGGAAAUAAAGUCUCAGCCCAAAGAAAGCCCAAAUGCGGAAACUUUUGAAAUAGGCUUCAAAGAUCAGCCCGUAAUUUUUGUUAGGUUCAAAACCCAAGGGAUCAAAGAC
rnacentral:lncRNA from 1 species